CUAAUACAUGCAAGUCGUACGCUGAAGCGCUCUGCUUGCAGAGCGCGGAUGAGUGGCGAACGGGUGAGUAACACGUGGGCAACCUGCCUGUAAGAUCGGGAUAACUCCGGGAAACCGGGGCUAAUACCGGAUAACCCGUGCCUCCUCCUGGAGGCGCGUUGAAAGGCGGCUUCGGCUGUCGCUUACAGAUGGGCCCGCGGCGUAUUAGCUUGUUGGUGGGGUAACGGCCCACCAAGGCGAUGAUACGUAGCCGACCUGAGAGGGUAAUCGGCCACACUGGGACUGAGACACGGCCCAGACUCCUACGGGAGGCAGCAGUAGGGAAUCUUCCGCAAUGGACGAAAGUCUGACGGAGCAAUGCCGCGUGAGUGAAGAAGGUCUUCGGAUCGUAAAGCUCUGUUGCCGGAGAAGAACAAGGACAGUAGUAACUGGCUGUCCCUUGACGGUAUCCGGCCAGAAAGCCACAGCUAACUACGUGCCAGCAGCCGCGGUAAUACGUAGGUGGCAAGCGUUGUCCGGAUUUAUUGGGCGUAAAGCGAGCGCAGGCGGUCCUUUAAGUCUGAUGUGAAAGCCCACGGCUCAACCGUGGAGGGUCAUUGGAAACUGGGGAACUUGAGUGCAGAAGAGGAGAGUGGAAUUCCAUGUGUAGCGGUGAAAUGCGCAGAGAUAUGGAGGAACACCAGUGGCGAAGGCGGC
rnacentral:rRNA from 1 species